UUUGAACGCUGGCGGCAUGCCUUACACAUGCAAGUCGAACGGCAGCACGGGCUUCGGUCUGGUGGCGAGUGGCGAACGGGUGAGUAAUGUAUCGGAACGUACCUUUCAGUGGGGGAUAACGUAGCGAAAGUUACGCUAAUACCGCAUAUUCUGUGAGCAGGAAAGCAGGGGAUCGCAAGACCUUGCGCUGAUUGAGCGGCCGAUAUCAGAUUAGCUAGUUGGUGGGGUAGAGGCCUACCAAUGCGACUAUCUGUAGCGGGUCUGAGAGGAUGAGCCUGCACGCUGGAAAUGAGAAACGGUCCAGACUCCUACGGGAGGCUGCAGUGGGGAAUUUUGGACAAUGGGGGCAACCCUGAUCCAGCCAUGCCGCGUGAGUGAAGAAGGCCUUCGGGUUGUAAAGCUCUUUCGGCCGAGAAGAAAUCGCAUGGGCUAAUACCCUGUGUGGAUGACGGUACCGGAAUAAGAAGCACCGGCUAACUACGUGCCAGCAGCCGCAGUAACAC
rnacentral:rRNA from 1 species